AAAAGCUUUGUAAAAUCAGAAGAACAGAGACUGCUCUACUCUGAAUGCCUAAGGAUUGAUUUGUUUUACUUGAAAGUCAGAGUUACAGAGAGAGAGAGAGAGAGAGAGAGAGCGAGCUUCCAUCCACUGGUUCACCCAUAAGUUGGCUGCAAUGGCCAGAGCUGCGCCCAUCCGAAGCCAGGAAUCUGGAGCUUCCUUCAGGUCUCCCAUGUGGGUGCAGGGGCACAAGGACUUGGGCCAUCUUCCACUGCUUUCCCAGGCUGUAGCAGAGAGCUGGAUUGGAAGUGGGGCAGCUGGGUCUCGAACCUGCGCUCAUACGGGAUGCCGGCACCACAGGCGAUGGCUUUACCCACUGUGCCACAGCGCUCGCCCCAUCCUGGACAGUUUUAACCCAACAGCGGUGGACAGUUUCCAGCAGGUUCUUUCCUGGGUUUCUCGGUCAGUGCCCCCUUCCUAAUGAGCUGAUUAAACCUAAACUGAGUUAAACAGGAGCCGGAGCUGUGGCUUUCUGAACUGAAUAUGGAGUCUCUUUCUGACCCAAAAGAGAGGGGAGCUGGGGGCGGAGAGGAGGGCAAGGGUCAAGAGCAGCGAUCUGGCCAGCCAUGUGUGUACUAACUUCCCCCUGCUUGGUGAGACUAAAGCAAGUGGAAACCAGUCCUUGGAUGGAUAUGGGGACAUGUAACAAACAACCGGACUUCAAAGCCUUAUCCAAGAUACUGAUAACUGUUCCGUGAAGAGAGGACCGGAUCUGAGCCCGCAUGGGCUCCCUCCAAGGCUGGCAGCCGCUCACGAAUUUUCUGAAGAGCAACAGAAAUUUACUUUGGGCACCAGGUGCAUCUAUACAGAGGUACAUCGUCGGCAGUCCAGACCUGCCACCGGCCCAGGUUACCAAAGGACCAUCUUCUUACCACCACUCCCAGCUGCCCGCUGCCCUGGCCUUGCUCUGCAGCUCAUGGAGCCAUCUGAGGUCACAAACGCGACCAGUGGAGGAAGGAAUUGCUCAAUGGCGCCAUUCCCAGCAUGAGACCAAGUAUGGGAAAUUAAAUAUGGAUGGUGCGGCUCGCUCUGGCCUCAGAAGCCGCUCUAUGGACUAUGGAUGAUUUCCACGGUUUCCCGAAGCUGCCCACUCUGGUCAUGUGACAUCUGAUGCCCUCCUGGAGGGGAGUGGCCCAGGGUUUCUUAGUUCCUUCCACAACUUACAAGGCUGCCCUUGGAGUAGCCUCCCAGCGACCUGCCUCUCCCUUCUCACCAGCCUUGAUUGUUGUCUGGGUCGUUUCAUACAUAAUUAGCUUCCUUCAAGUUUCCAGAUGGCAUCGUGACAGCGGCUGGCUUUUUGUUUCACUUCCACUCUCCUUUCCACUGGUCCCGGAGCUGCUUGAUCUGGUGUAAAGAUCUGAUAUAAGGGCAUUUCAGAAAGUUUGGAAGAAAUGGAUUUAAAUGAUGUGUUAAAAUUUUCAGAACCCACACACUGUUAGAGUACGCAUUUCCUGUGAACUUUUUUUUUUUUUUUUUGACAGGCAGAGUGGACAGUGAGAGAAAGACAGAGAGAAAGGUCUUCCUUUGCCGUUGGUUCACCCUCCAAUGGCCACUGCGCUGAUCCGAUGGCAGGAGCCAGGUGCUUCUCCUGGUCUCCCAUGGGGUGCAGGGCCCAAGCACUUGGGCCAUCCUCCACUGCACUCCCUGGGCCACAGCAGACAGCUGGCCUGGAAGAGGAGCAACCGGGACAGAAUCCGGCGCCCCGACCGGGACUAGAACCCAGCGUGCCGGCGCCGCAAGGCGGAGGAUUAGCCUAGUGAGCCGCGGCGCCGGCCCUGUGAGUGUCUUUUCAAAGACACUUUCCCCAGCACUGUUCUGUCUGGCUCAAGGGAUUACAUUACAUCCCGGAGAUGCAGUGAACAUCCAGCAGCCUUAGAAAAGAGUGAGACGUGCGAGACCCGGAGGAAGCUUCUGGCUCCUGGCUUUGGAUCAGCGCAGCUCCAGCCGUUGUGGCCACCUGGGGGGUGAACCAGCGGAUGGAAGACCUCUCUCUCUCUCUCUCUCUCUCUCUCUCUGUGUAUACCUCUCUCUGUAACUCUGUCUUUCAAAUAAGUGAAAUAAAUCUUAAAAAAAAAAGAGUGAGAACGCUUAA
ensembl:lncRNA